UACGUAGGGGGCAAGCGUUGUCCGGAAUCAUUGGGCGUAAAGAGCGCGUAGGCGGCCCUGUAAGUCCGCUGUGAAAGUCAAGGGCUCAACCCUUGAAUGCCGGUGGAUACUGCAGGGCUAGAGUCCGGAAGAGGCGAGUGGAAUUCCUGGUGUAGCGGUGAAAUGCGCAGAUAUCAGGAAGAACACCAGUGGCGAAGGCGGCUCACUGGUCCGGUACUGACGCUGAGGUGCGAAAGCGUGGGGAGCAAACAGG
rnacentral:rRNA from 1 species